rnacentral:ncRNA from 2 species
GAACACUUCAGGGUUAGGUGAAAUUCCUUACCGGCGGUAGGCAUUAAUUGUGAGCCCGCGAGCGAAAGCAGAUCCGGUCAGAUUCCGGAGCCGACAGUACAGUCUGGAUGGAAGAUAGUGUGU